UGCCAGCCGCCGCGGUAAUACAUAUGCUCCAAGCGUUGUUCGGAAUUACUGGGCAUAAAGCGAGUGUAGGCUGUUUGCCAAGUCGAUUGUGAAAUCUCCCGGCUCAACUGGGAGGGUGCGGUCGAAACUGGCAGGCUAGAGUUCGGGAGAGGAGAGUGGAAUUCCUGGUGUAGCGGUGAAAUGCGUAGAUAUCAGGAGGAACAUCAGUGGCGAAGGCGGCUCCCUGGCCAAAGACUGACGCUCAUGUGCGAAAGUGUGGGUAGCGAACAGGAUUAGAUA
rnacentral:rRNA from 1 species